AUUGAACGCUGGCGGCAUGCCUUACACAUGCAAGUCGAACGGCAGCGGGCCUUCGGGUGCCGGCGAGUGGCGAACGGGUGAGUAAUGCAUCGGAACGUGCCAUUGAGUGGGGGAUAACGUAGCGAAAGUUGCGCUAAUACCGCAUAUUCUGUGAGCAGGAAAGCAGGGGGACCGCAAGGCCUUGCGCUCUUUGAGCGGCCGAUGUCAGAUUAGCUAGUUGGUGAGGUAAAGGCUUACCAAGGCGACGAUCUGUAGCGGGUCUGAGAGGAUGAUCCGCCACACUGGAACUGAGACACGGUCCAGACUCCUACGGGAGGCAGCAGUGGGGAAUUUUGGACAAUGGGGGCAACCCUGAUCCAGCCAUGCCGCGUGAGUGAAGAAGGCCUUCGGUUGUAAAGCUCUUUCGGCCGGGACGAAACGGUUUACGUACCUAAAUACGUGAGACUACU
rnacentral:rRNA from 1 species